GCCAUGGAUAGACCCACUUUUUGUUGUUAUUUACGCACGCAUUUUUUGUUCUUACGUUUAUAGUUAACCCGGUUUUCAUUCGACACCAUAUUUAGAAUUCUAUGAAGAAUUUCUUAUUAAAGAUUGGCUUGUUAAACUUUAUGAAAUUAAACCGGAGUGGUGUGCUAGAAAUGGAUUCUAAAAUACUUGUUCUUUUUCAGGUCAGUGCCUAAUGUAUGAAAUAUUCGGUAGGUGUUAUGUAUACGAAAUACACACAUUGGAGUUUGAUUGGGGGUGAAAGAUAGGCGGUGGUUGAUGAAUUAAAAAAUGUUCUGAAAUAACUGCGCCGCUUCUACUUUAAAAUAUGCCGCCACUUAAGUCGUUGCCACGCUUUGGCCUCGGCCUAUACGGCCUGUUUACAAAUCCAACACUGGUUAUUACUGGGGCAACAUCGCAAAGACCUACGUAAUUCAUACUUACAAAAUCUUUUCUUGGUGAGACUAAAAUGCAAUGAAGAAGAUACAAAAUGAAUGCUCCGGGAUCGCUGAACUACACAAACCAAUCAUAGAUGAAUCAUAGCUGCAAUAAAUUUUGGUUCAAUCGAAACGCCCCGAGGUAUUGGACAUCCUGGUGGCGAUGAAAAAACUGGAAUUCCCUUGCAAGCACCGACGGACACGCAUAUCACAUGCUUUAUGAUAGACAUCAUAUUGUAUAAAGAAUAAAUAAUGUAGAUCGGAUAAA